GCAGGGAACCGGAGAACCGCCGGGGAAUUGAAUACGGUGUCGCGGCAGAAGUUCGGGGACUUGGAGAUCUUCUUGGCGCCCUUACAGAUCUCGGCGAAGGUGUUGAAGAAGUUCCAGAAGGAAGUGCCGUCGGUGACGGCGUGGUUGACUGUGAGGCCUACGAAGACGCCGUCGCCGAGCUCGGUGACCUGCACGGCGGCCAAUGGCUUUUUAUGGCCGGCGUAGCUGAGCGUUUUGUCGAAGGCGAAGAACUCCUUGAAGCAGCCGGGGACAUCGAGAGGGGCGAGGAUAUC
rnacentral:lncRNA from 1 species